rnacentral:rRNA from 1 species
GACGAACGCUGGCGGCGUGCUUAACACAUGCAAGUCGAACGGAAAGGCCCCUUUGGGGGUACUCGAGUGGCGAACGGGUGAGUAACACGUGAGUAACCUGCCCUUGACUUCGGGAUAACUUCAGGAAACUGGGGCUAAUACCGGAUAGGAAUCCUUGCUGCAUGGUGGGGGUUGGAAAGCUUCGGCGGUUUUGGAUGGACUCGCGGCUUAUCAGCUUGUUGGUGGGGUAGUGGCUUACCAAGGCUUUUACGGGUAGCCGGACUGAGAGGGCGACCGGCCACAUUGGGACUGAGAUACGGCCCAGACUCCUACGGGAGGCAGCAGUGGGGAAGAUUGCACAAUGGGCGGAAGCCUGAUGCAGCACCGCCGCGUGCGGGAUGACGGCCUUCGGGUUGUAAACCGCUUUCAGCAGGGGCGAAGCUUGUGGUGACGGUACCUGCAGAAGAAGCACCGGCUAACUACGUG